UAGAAAUAUACAAAAUUAAUUUCACUGAACCACUCUUUGACUCUCUUCAGCUAGGAAAUUUACAGAGCUCUAUCAAAACUAUAUAGCACCUCUGUGUAUUAUAUGGGGAGUUGGAAGCUUAAAACUUUAAAAU